rnacentral:lncRNA from 1 species
ACACUUUUACGUUACAACUUUAGAGAGAGGGACACAGUCAUUUGGGUGACAGAUGCGUUGGUAGGAGUUGCCCUGCUUUAUCCCUUCCACCUCCACACCCUUAACCGCUAAGCUUCCCUUUCCGCCGAUUCACCCACCUCCUUCCGCUCCCUUAUAUAUAUAGAUACACCCAAGUCCCAAAUUUCAAAGCUUUACAAUCACAACCUUAAACCAUCCUGUUUCAAGUCCCAAAUAUUUCCU